rnacentral:rRNA from 1 species
UACGUAGGGUGCAAGCGUUAAUCGGAAUUACUGGGCGUAAAGCGUGCGCAGGCGGCUUUGCAAGACAGACGUGAAAUCCCUCGGCUUAACCGGGGAACUGCGUCUGAUACUGGAUGGCUUGAGAUUGGGAGAGGGAUGCGGAAUUCCAGGUGUAGCGGUGAAAUGCGUAGAUAUCUGGAGGAACACCGGUGGCGAAGGCGGCAUCCUGGACCAACACUGACGCUGAGGAGCGAAAGCCAGGGGAGCAAACGGG